AGGCCUCAUUUGAGUUAUCGAAUUUCAUUUAAAAAAAUCAAAAUCCCUUCAAGAUCAUUCAAAUUUAUACAUGUUCACAUUAUUGGAAGUUCAUCAAGUUUUCAUUCAAAUGGCAUUCUUCGAAAAUUGCAAAUUAAAGGUCCUCACCACGAUACAAAGUUCAAUGCAUUCAAAAGUUCUGAUACAAUGUCAUGUUACAAGUUGCAAAAUGAAAUGCAAAUUAAAAAAGCUAUCAAAUUUAGAAGAUUCAUUACAUUCUCAACCAUUACACCAUGUUACAUUAUUGAGAUGAAAACGAAGCUACAAAAGAAAAUUGCAACUUUGCGAUGUCAAUGUUAG
rnacentral:lncRNA from 1 species